rnacentral:rRNA from 1 species
AGUGAACGCUGGCGGUAGGCCUAACACAUGCAAGUCGAACGGCAGCACAGUAAGAGCUUGCUCUUACGGGUGGCGAGUGGCGGACGGGUGAGGAAUACAUCGGAAUCUACUUUUUCGUGGGGGAUAACGUAGGGAAACUUACGCUAAUACCGCAUACGACCUACGGGUGAAAGCAGGGGAUCUUCGGACCUUGCGCGAUUGAAUGAGCCGAUGUCGGAUUAGCUAGUUGGCGGGGUAAAGGCCCACCAAGGCGACGAUCCGUAGCUGGUCUGAGAGGAUGAUCAGACACACUGGAACUGAGACACGGUCCAGACUCCUACGGGAGGCAGCAGUGGGGAAUAUUGGACAAUGGGCGAAAGCCUGAUCCAGCCAUACCGCGUGGGUGAAGAAGGCCUUCGGGUUGUAAAGCCCUUUUGUUGGGAAAGAAAAGCAGCAGGUUAAUACCCCGCUGUUCUGACGGUACCCAAAGAAUAAGCACCGGCUAACUUCGUG